rnacentral:rRNA from 1 species
AUGGCCUCCCGUCCCCCCAACUCCGCCGACGGCGAGGGCCCCGCAGGGAAUAACGUGGAAUUGCCAUCCCUGCCCUUUCAUGUUGUUACUAAACCUAGUCAACUCCCAGUUGAGUUUCUUGAGCCCUCUGCUGCCAAGAAAUUGGUGAUUGGAUUUGACUGUGAAGGUGUUGACCUUUGCCGCCAUGGUGCUCUCUGUAUCAUGCAGAUUGCAUUUCCUGACGCUGUUUACUUGGUCGAUGCUAUUGAGGGUGGAAAAGAACUAGUUCAAGCUUGCAAACCAGCACUUGAGUCCAAUCAUAUCACCAAAGUUAUUCAUGACUGUAAAAGGGACAGUGAGGCAUUGUAUUUCCAGUUUGGCAUUAAAUUACAUAAUGUGAUGGAUACACAGAUAGCCUAUUCCCUGAUUGAAGAGCAGGAAGGUAAAAAGAGAGCAUAUGAUGUUUACAUAUCCUUCGUGAGCCUUCUUGCCGAUCCUCGUUAUUGUGGAAUGCCAUAUCCUGAAAAGGAAGAAGUCCGUACCCUUCUAAGGCAGGACCCAAAUUUCUGGAAAAAUAGGCCCUUGUCUGAAAUGAUGAUUCGAGCAGCGACAGAUGAUGUGCGCUUCCUUCUCAAUAUACAUGAGAAAAUGAUGGAGAAGUUAAGCAAAGUAUCUUCAUGGCGUCUGGCAGUACGAAGUGAGCUAUACUGUAGGUGCUUUUGCAUAAAUGACAACCAGCAGGCAGAUUGGCCGCCUCUUCCAACUGUCCCUGAUGACAUUGAAGCUGAAGCUCGUGUUCCUGAAGUGGAUAUCCUUUCGCUCUUAGAUGUGCCUCCUGGAAAAAUGGGUCGUGUUAUUGGCAGAAAAGGAUCAUCAAUAAUGGCUGUGAAAGAAUCUUGCAAUGUUGAAAUCCAUAUCGGUGGUGCAAAGGGACCUCCAGAUAGGGUGUUCAUCAUUGGACCAGUGAAGGAAGUCAGAAAGGCGGAGGCCAUCCUGAGGGGCCGAAUGCUGUAA